GGCGGCCCGCCGCUUUCACCAAGGGGCGGGAGCAAGGCCUAUGCCGGGGCCGCCCCCGCGCCUCCCUGCGCACGCGCUGGGCCAGUGAGACCUGCGAUCUCAGCUCAGCCUUCCUGGCACCGUACCGCGCUCAGCCUCUGUGUGCCAGCUCCGUGGCUGUGACCCUGCUACGAGCCAGCGCAGCUUCUUCCUGCACUGCGGCCCUCCAACGGCCCAAGAGAAAACCCAUACAAUCUCUUUGCACAUGAGGACAUGUAAAGAGACAGCUGAGAGUUGCUCCUUUCAUAAUGGGAGAUGAUGGUCCAAAGCAAGGAUAAUGAUGACACUCUAAGUGGAAUUUAAAUGCUGCCAAAGACUAUUUUUUAGUUAGCUUUGGUUUUUGUCUUUUGAGAUAGGCUUCAGACUCGCAAGCAUUGGGACUGCAGAUGUGUUUCACCAACCCUGGUUUUAAAAGGCUUCUUAAGUUCCAUAAUUAAUAAAAUUAAAGCACAUUUUGUUUUUCAAAGA
rnacentral:lncRNA from 1 species